rnacentral:rRNA from 1 species
AUGAGCAGAGCAAUGGACUGGCCUCGGGCGGUGAGCAUGCUCCCUUCACUCAGAACCCUCCAUCUCUCUUCCUGCUCGCUUCCAAGCACGAACCAGUGGCAACUUCCGGCGGCAGGCUUGUGUAACCUCACAAAUCUUGAGGAGCUGGAUCUCUCCAUGAACCGCCUCAACCACCCGGCCGCAUCCUCCUGGUUCUGGAACGUGACAAGCCUCACUCACAUCAACCUCAUGGAAACCUUCCUGUCCGGGCAGCUCCCUGAUGCACUGGACGCCAUGGCGUCCCUUGAGAUUCUUGAUUUCUCAUAUAAUGGAAACAUGGCUACCAUGCCAAGAAGCUUGAGAAACCUCUGCAACCUGAGGUACUUAGACCUGGAGUCGAGCCUCGUAGGCGGCCAGGACAUGGGCAAGCUGAUGGAAAGCCUGCCGCAGGGAUGCCCAUCCAACAUGUUGCAACAAUUGUACCUAGCAAACAAUGGAAUAGGACACUUUGCUAGAUUAAGCACUCUAGACCUUCGUGGCAACUACCUCACUGGACAUGUCCCGCCUCAGCUUGGUAUGCUCGCUAAUCUAACUUACCUGGACAUUAGUCUCAAUGAUCUUCAUGGUUUGCUCACGGAGGAGCACUUUGCUGAAAUGGCCAGUUUAGAGACAUUGGACCUAUCGCAGAAUCCCCUACUCAAGAUUCACGUGGAUUCAGAAUGGAAGACUCCCUUCAAGCUUAGAGAUGCAAAUUUUUCGUUGUGCAUUAUGGGUCCCCUUUUCCCUGCCUGGCUCCAGUGGCAGGUGAAUCUUACUUACCUUGACAUCUCAAGCUCAGGUAUAACUGAUAAGCUUCCGGACUGGUUCACCACUGCAUUUUCAGCAAUGGAUUUUCUGGAUAUUUUCAACAAUUCAAUAUAUGGCGAAUUGCCGGAAAAUAUGGAGGACAUGUCAUUGACACAAUUCUUUCUCGAUUCCAAUAGACUUACUGGGCCCAUACCAAGUCUACCAAGGAAUAUCAUCUACUUGGAUAUCUCCAUGAACUCUUUAUCAGGGCCUUUCCCAUCCAACCUUGGAGCUCCAGGACUAGAAACGUUGCUUAUGUUCUCGAAUGGCAUCGUGGGUCAUCUUCCCGAAUCAAUCUGCCAUUCACAGAAGUUGAUAGUCUUAGACUUAGCAAACAACCUUCUCGUUGGAGAACUACAUUCAUGUUCUAGAAUGGAAUCCUUGAGGUACCUGCUGUUAAGUAACAAUAGCUUCUCUGGACCAUUCCCACCAUUUGUACAGAGCUGCAAAAACUUGGGUUUCUUGGAUCUUGCAUGGAAUAACUUAUCCGGAACAUUGCCGACGUGGAUUGGCAACUUGGUGCAACUGCAAUUUGUACGGUUGAGUUAUAACAUGUUCUCUGGGAAGAUCCCGGUCAUCAUCACAAAACUCAAGUUCCUUCAUCAUUUGAAUCUAGCAGGAAAUAAUAUAUCCGGAUCCAUCCCACUGGGUAUCUCAAACCUAACAGCAAUGACACGGAUAGCGGUAAGGAUUGGUUUGUUUCCUUAUCAGGCGUAUGCAAAUGCGGCGGGUGAAGGUGGAAAUAGCUUGUCCGCUGUCACCAAGGGGCAAGAACUCAAGUAUGGUGUAGGAAUUUCGGAUAUGAUCCCUUCAAGCUUGUCAAAGAUAACAUACUUAAGCUUCUUGAACCUAUCUGAAAACAAUCUUACAGGAAGAAUACCACCAGGCUCACAGCUUGACACCCUGUACCAGGAGCACCCAUCUAUAUACGAUGGCAACAGUGGGCUUUGCGGACCUCCUCUUCAGAAGAAUUGCUCGACAAAUGGUACAUCAACGCAAGAUGAUCAGAACAGAACUGGCCAUGGUUUUGAGCCAAUGUCUUUUAGAUUUGGGCUUGUUCUGGGUCUGAUUCUGGGCCUUUGGUUGGCGCUCUUCACCCUUCUAUUCAUGAAAGCAUGGAGGAUUGCUUAUUUCCGCCUCUUUGACAAGCUGUAUGAUCAGAUAUAUGUGUUUGUCGUUGUUAAAUGGAAAAGAUUUUCCAGAGCAAGAACAACAGAUUAG